rnacentral:lncRNA from 1 species
UUUUGAUUUAGUAAAUACUUAUUUAUGAUAUCUAAUUUAUAAAUUAAUCAAUGUUUUAAUGUAUUAUUUUAAUAGUUAUAACAAGAUUAUUAUUUUCCUGUUUUCAGGUUAGCCACAUCAAGGAGAUUAAAGGAUCAAAAGCUAGUAGUAAUGCUAAAUCAGAAAAUGUAACCACUUCAAAGACAAUGCAAACUGUUAAAAAAUCUGAUAAAUUUGUCAGGAAAACUUCCAAAAAAUAUAGUGAUUAUUCUAGUGGUUACAAUGACAGUGAUUCUGAGGAGAUGGCUAAGACUGAUUAUACAUAUGCAAAGAGUUUAAGUUAUAGGAGUCGUGUAACUCCCAAUAGAGGUAUAAUUCAUCCAAAUAUGUCUCGCAGGAGUAUUCGAUCUGAUGAAUCUAAUCUUGCGAUAUUAUCUGAUACAAGCAGUGAUGAAGACAGCUAUAAAAGUGAGAAAAUGUAUACAAUUUUAUAAUAUAAAUAUAAGUG